rnacentral:rRNA from 1 species
ANAAUAACAAUUUUGAGGGCCCCCCUGCCCUGUGACUAUAUGUUUAACGGCCGUGGUAUUUUGACCGUGCAAAGGUAGCGCAAUCACUUGUCUUUUAAAUGGAGACCCGUAUGAAUGGCACAACGAGGGCUUAACUGUCUCUUCUUUCAAGUCAAUGAAAUUGAUCUCCCCGUGCAGAAGCGGGGAUACACACAUAAGACGAGAAGACCCUGUGGAGCUUUAGGCACCAAAGCAGAAUAUGUAAAGUACCCCAAACUAACGACCAAAACAACUUAUGACCUGCCCUAAUGCCUUCGGUUGGGGCGACCGCGGGGAAAUAAAAAACCCCCAUGCAGAAUGGGAGCACAGCUCCUACAGCUUAGAGCCCCCGCUCUAAUCAACAGAACCUCUGACUAAUAAGAUCCGGCAAUGCCGAUCAACGGACCAAGUUACCCCAGGGAUAACAGCGCAAUCCCCUUUUAGAGCCCAUAUCGACAAGGGGGUUUACGACCUCGAUGUUGGAUCAGGACAUCCUAAUGGUGGAGCCAGCUAUUAAAAG